rnacentral:rRNA from 1 species
UAAAUCGACCGCCUGGGGAGUACGGCCGCAAGGUUAAAACUCAAAUGAAUUGACGGGGGCCCGCACAAGCGGUGGAGCAUGUGGUUUAAUUCGAUGCAACGCGAAGAACCUUACCUACUCUUGACAUCCAGAGAACUUUCCAGAGAUGGAUUGGUGCCUUCGGGAACUCUGAGACAGGUGCUGCAUGGCUGUCGUCAGCUCGUGUUGUGAAAUGUUGGGUUAAGUCCCGCAACGAGCGCAACCCUUAUCCUUUGUUGCCAGCGGUUCGGCCGGGAACUCAAAGGAGAC